CUGGGUGGUUGAUGUACAGCAACAGGAAGCUGGAAGGGGAGGGGCUUAGCCGAAGAGUGCUUUUGUAUUGGUCGAGGUUGACCUUCCACCCACCUCUAACCCAGAGGAUGAAUGAUAGAUCUGCCCUGAAGCCAAUCAGAAGUCCUUAGGACUGAGCUGUGGUAGAAGGAUUGAGGCCAGCACAGAGGAGGAUCAGCAGGAAAUGUAAGGGUUGUCCUCAUCUAAUCCGUCAGUACCAGACAGUGAACAUCUCUCCCCCAGGAUGCUGAGGGAGGGUCCUGGAGGGAAGGAUGUGGAACUACAGCCUCUGCUCUCAAGAAGCUCAGAUCUGGGCAGGGAACAUCACAUACCAGGGCUGUCUGUCGGGGGGGUGGAGGGCUGGGGGAGGGAUAGCAUUAGGGGAAAUACCUAAUGUAAAUGACAAGUUGAUGGGUGCAGCAAACCAACAUGGCACAUGUAUACCUAUGUAACAAAUCUGCAUGUUGUGCACGUGUACCCUAGAACUUAAAGUAUAAUUAAAAAAAAAAAAAGCUUCAGAUCCCUCCUGGAGCCUCCUAUGAAACCACGUGGCAUAACUGGUGCUGUUGGUCCAGAAACUAGAAGAAUAUCAGGCCAGCCCCCUUGACUCUCUGUUGGUCCUCACUCAUAGCUACAACCCA
rnacentral:lncRNA from 1 species